AAGAAGUUAGUUAAAAAAUAACAUUAGUAUGUCAAACUAAAGUCAUUAUCAUUUAAUACAUCUUU
rnacentral:tRNA from 1 species